ACCCCAAAAACACCAUUCUAGUGCCUAGAAAACAUAACAGCCACUCCACCUUCUUCCACCCUCUUUACCUAGUUCUCCACCACCUUCCAACCAUCAAACACUCUUCCACACUCACCCUAAACCCCUCCAUAUCAUUCCCCAUCCAUUCUACACCAUAAAUCCACCCAAAAAUCUGUCCACAAGCUUCAUGCCGCAACAAGGAGGAAGGGAGAUCCAUUGAUGCACUCGCUUUCCAAGUUGGAGCAUUUUAGGUGUUUUCUUUCCUUUGAUUUUAAUGUCUAAUUUUAUGUAUCUUUGUAUUGCA
rnacentral:lncRNA from 1 species